AACAGUUUCCUCAGUUAUUCAAAUGAGUCUACUGUCUCAGGUGGAAGACGGCAAUACCAUUUUAGAGCUCUGCCAGAGAGGGUGGAGGGGAAGAGAAGACAUCGCUCUUCGUCGGUGUGCAUUUGAUAUGCCAUGGUGGACUUAAAAAGGUUAAGGUGUUCAAUUGGGUCAUCCCUUCCAGUAUAUAGUUGUAAACCAAGCUUUUGUUUUGUCUUCACUUGAAGGAGGUGUCGAGGAUCGUCCUUGUGAGAGGGCCAGGCCUGGGUUGGUUCCAGUCAGGUAUAUCGGCCUGACGUUCGGCCUUCAACUUGUGUUUCUCAUAUUGCUCCUAGAAAACCUCAUUCUUCAAAGAGUAUGCCUAGUUUCAUGGAGCGUCUCAAAGAGUUUCUCAUAUUGCUCCUAGAAAACCUCAUUCUUCAUUGCUAUCUUAUUAUUC
rnacentral:lncRNA from 1 species